rnacentral:lncRNA from 1 species
ACACUGAUUUUGACAUAAUUCAGUGUCUGUCUUUUUGCUCACCUUUUAGUCGGUUAUGUCCUUUUAAGUUACAAAGUACCAGUUACAAUAGUUAAAAUAGGCGACGUGGUGCUUUUGUGUCAAAUAUAAACACGCACAUACAUAUAUGCAGGGAGAAGCCAGCUGUAAUUAUCACGUAUGAUAGUGAUAUUACGAAGGAAAAUGAAGUAAUACUAAGUGUACACGUAUUACAACUUAUGGGAACGUAACGGAGAAACCAAUUCCUUAACAUUGCUACUCAUAAUUACGAAAUAGAAUAGGUGAACCAAAUAACAUGGAAACUAAACCCUUACCUAAAUAUAAACUCUAAAUUCAAAUAUAAACUUUAACCCAAAUAGAAUAUAACGAAAUAAAUAACAUAGUAUAUAUUGGUGAAAUUAUGAAAUAUCUAUGAUUGCAUGAAAGAAGUUAAUGAUGUCCCCAAGUCCCCAACCAUAUACCCUCUCACUUUCAAAAUACUAAACCUUAAAUUAUAAUCACUAAACCCUAAACUCUAAUAUAAACCAUAAACCCAAAUAUAAACAUGAAUUCCAAAUAGAAUGGAACAAAAUAAAUAACAUAGUCUGUAUUGGUGAAAUUAUAAAAUGUUUAUAAUUGCAUAAAAAAAGUUAAUGAUGAUUCCAACCAUACAUUUUUGCCUUCUAAAUACUAAACGUUAAACUCUAAUCACUAAAUCCUCACCCAAAUAUAAACCCUAAACCCAAAUAGAAUGGAACAAAAUAAAUGACAUAGCACAUGUUGGAGAAAUUAUGAAAUGUCUAUAAUUGCAUGAAAAAUAUUAAUGCUGACCCAAACCAUACUCCCUCACCUACUAAAUACUAAACCCUAAACUCUAGUCACUAAACCUUAACCCACAUAUAAACUCUAAUUCAAUGUCAACCCCAAUCUUUUAUAAACUAAACCCAAAUCGAAAUACCAGUAAGAUGCAUUUCCAAUUCUACAUGAGAAUAUAGAAUAGAAAUGUGACAAACGAUAUAACACAAUACAUAUUGUUCAAAUGUUGAAGUGUCUAUAAUUGCAGGGAAGGAAGUAAUGCUUACACCAAAUUCAGAUUGAUUGUAGCGAAGGAAAUGAAGACUGACGACAUUAAAGAAAAUAGGUGGAAGAGACAACAUCAUAUGAAUAUCAUUCUCAUUCAACAUCACAUUGUAUUUUAUUUUAUUUGAUGUCAUAAUAAAUUUUAUUCCAUUUAAGUUCAAUAUAUUAUUUAUCUAUGCAAAAUCAUAUACACACUAAUAUAAAAUAUAUAUAUACACUGAUACAAAACUCAUAUCAAGAGAACAUGAAACAACAACGAACAAGAUUGAACCCUCUAAUGCAUUCUUGAUCACCUCAAUCCAACGGAGGUUGAAAUAGUUGUUAAUCUGUCUUUCCAGUGGGUUCAAAACCUGUCUCAAACAGUCUUCUUGGAAGGCCUAAAUCGUCCAUGCCAAACCUAAAGAACAAAGUAAGAAGGAAACAUGGUUAUGACAGAGUAAUUCGUUCUAUUUUAUAUAGAAAAUAACCUUUUAUACCCAAAUAGAAUGGAACAAAAUAAAUAACAUAGUCUGUAUUGGUGAAAUUAUAAAAUGUUUAUGAUUGCAUAAAAGAAGUUAAUGAUGAUCCCAACCAUACCUUUUUGCCUUCUAAAUACUAAACGUUAAACUCUAAUCACUAAACCCUCACCCAAAUAUAAACCCUAAACCCAAAUAGAAUGGAACAAAAUAAAUGACAUAACACAUGUUGGAGAUAUUAUGAAAUGUCUAUAAUUGCAUGAAAAAAUUAAUGCUGACCCAAACCAUACUCCCUCACCUACUAAAUACUAAACCCUAAACUCUAGUCACUAAACCCUAACCCAAAUAUAAACCCU